rnacentral:sRNA from 1 species
CUCUCAUGUCCCUCGAGCAAACAGUACUAAAUGCUUCCGAGCAUAUCUCCAGACUCUCUCAUUGAUUCGCGUAAGACUCCUUUAUGCCUCACCAUCCAUCAUAUGCCCUUCGAAACAUCCUUAUGACCAACUUCUGGCCAUCUCGUAAACACACCUCUCUCUUAGGUUGUUUACUCAAACUUUCCAAAAAUAGACAAGCCCUUUCUGGAAAACUUUUCAUUUUUGGAAACCGCACAACACAUUCUUAAAUAAGACAACUCAAGUCAAGUUCAAGAAAAAAAUACUCAUCUUAUAACUCAUCAAAUGUCAUGAUCGUUACAACUCCAAACGAAAAUAU